GGGGUUAUGGCUCAGUGGGUGAGCACUUGCCUAGCAUGUAUGAGGCACUGGGUUCGAUUCCCAGCACUUGCA
rnacentral:tRNA from 1 species